GGGGCCGUAGCUCAGUUGGGAGAGCGCGUGAAUGGCAUUCACGAGGUCAGGGGUUCGAUUCCCCUCGGCUCCACCA
rnacentral:tRNA from 9 species